UCUCUCUCUCUAUGUCUCUCACUACGUGGCGUAGAUUGGAAAGGCUGGGGCUGAGGCGAGGGCUGCUCUGUUAUGGAGAGGGCGGAGGAGAGGUGAGGAGACUCACUAGGCAGCUGGCUCGCUCGCGUUUGGGGAGAGAUGGAAGACAUGUUUGCAGAGAAAAGUCUGAUGCGAAAAGCAGUCCUUUUUAGUACUCACUUUUCCUUCGAAUUUUCUGUUUUUUUUCUCUCCUCAAUCUUCUGUUAAGCUUCUAUUAUUUUUGAUCUUGUACUUUCUCACACUCGCUUUUUCUCUCUCUGUCUCUCUUUCUUUGCCCCCUCUUUUCCUCUUUAACUUUCGCUCUGCUUUGAACAUUUCAGGGUCAAUUUUUCCCUGCCUGUUCGAGGCGAUAUCUUUUUGUCAUCCCCUUGUUCGAUUCAAAUCAGGGGAGUUUAAAACAAAAGGAAACGUCCAACGUUUUGGCAUAGCUAAGGAGAGUCAGAAACGCAGCCAAGGACCCUGCUGGGAUAAAAAAAAAAAAAACAGGCAGAGUGAAGCAGCGCCAAAAAAAAAAGAAAACACCACCCUUUCCUUUGCAUGGUCACAAAUUCCACUUUCUCUGUAGCCAGCCCUGAGCAGCUACAACAGCUCCUCCUCGACCACAUCUCACCGUCUGCAUUCAACCUUACGCCGUCUCUAGCUCGCCGUAGAUUUUUUCUAACUCCAUCUUGGGGGUGUGGGUUAUGUACCCCUGUUACUGAGGAUAGGACAGCGGGACAGGAGGGUGAAAGAAGGAAGAAAGAAAGAGGGGGACAGUAUCUUUGCUUCAAUUUCAGCUGGUCCCUGCUGUAUUUUCACUGAAAGAGUCGGCCUACUCUGUCCACCAAGCCUGACUCCAUUUUGAUGCCAGACGAAGAGACGAGGACUGACCAGCCCUUUGGUUCCCACACCAUGUUGGCUCCAGCCCACACCAUUGGCUACCCACUACCACACCAGUACGUUGGCAUUUCUCUUUUCGUAUUUCUGUAUUUUUCUAUUCAUUUCUCAAUGAAUUUCUCUCUUGGUAUUGGUUUGUCAUGAUAAGUGCGAAACUGGACCUAUGAUUCUGUACCUCUCAUUCUCUCAUGUUCAACUGACCUUACCUUAUAGUACAUAUAUUGUUUUUAACGGUAAUUGUGAAUUCCUAUAUUUCUCAGAGAUAAGUACGGUAACAUAAAUAAAGCUAAUUAAAUCUCUCCCUCGUGUAUAUAUUCACCCUCAGCUUGUGAAAAAUAUUUGACAGUGAUUGUUCUGAAAGAUAGUGUAGUGAUGUACAUAAACGAAACAUGCUAUUUUCAAAUCAAAAACAUCUUUCAGAGCCAUGUUUUGUUUUGUUACGAUUUACAGUUUGCUAUGACAAUUGAAUGACCUUUUCAAUUUGUAGUCGAAUGUCACACGGUCUAUCAUUUCUGUUACACACCUUACUCAAGAGGUGUGCUGUGUUUCUGUAGGGAUUAGAGUGACAAGGUGGCUCAGCAGAACUCAUUGAGUUCAUUGAUUUACUGUUAAUUCAUGUGACCUUUCAUUUGACUGUUGUCUUAUUCAUUGUUUAAUUAUACCUUCUGCACUAUCCCCUGGGGUGACUUUCUCUAUAGCAGUUAUUAAAUUGUCUUUAUAUAAGAGCUAUGGCCAGAUUUAAAUCCAUUCUAACUCGUUUUUUUGUUGUUGCAAUUCUGCAUUGCAGUAUUUCUUCAACAAAUGUACUCACACCCUGACAUUUUAAGUGGUAACAGAAUAUUAUUUGCAAAGUCUGUAUAGGUCAAUUUUUAUAUUACAAUUCAGAAAUCAGGAAGAUGGGCAGACAUAUCUGAAAUGAAAUAUUUAUUGUUUAUCCCGGAUACUAAUGGUGGACACCUGAAUUAUUUUUUUCCGGGCUACCUCUUGAAAAUAAUGAAUAUACGCUAACAUGAAAUGCAAUAAGGCAUUGUAAUAACCAACGUACUAUUCUCUCUCCUCCCUUUCAGAUUUUGAUAUUGAGAGGCAAAAGUACAUGAGUCAUAUAAGGGUUAUACAACGCCAUGCACAUAUGACAGUCAUGUGUCUUGUCCACUUCAUUGUGCCAUAUUACAGUAGCUCUCCAAUCUUUUCUCAACUGAUAAGUGGUAUAUAAUACAUUUCAGACGGACAGAUUUGGAAGGUCUCGUUCGGUUGUCAAACGGAACAGUAGUGCAGUGUAUCAACCUCGGCUUGUUAUUGAAGGUAACAUUUGAUAAAGAAUAGAAAAUCUUGCUUCAAUAUAUUUUUUCUGGACAAAAGUUUGAAACCUCAAUAUAUACUCAAGGAUAGGCCCAUUAUCUUAUUGUCAACCACCACAAUCAUAUUAGUCUGAACCUGUAUUCAGGCAAGGUUUCCAUGCGCUUUCCUACAUUUCUUGACUUGCCUAGUUAAAUAAACAUUAAAAAAAAAACUUGAGGGAUCAUUUCAAUUUGUGUAUGAAUGAUUCUAACAAUUGUCCUUCACUGUAGUACAUUUUUUGCUAAAGACAAAGUGCAAAAAAUGACAAGAAAUGAAUGAGGAAUUACCAUGAGAUUUUAAAGGGGCAUUGCAUUUAAAUACGUGAUUUCCUGUAUUUUUUAGAUUAGAUUUCCACACUAUGAGGUCUAAAUAACAAUCUGAAAUUGUAGAAAGUAUGAUAAUACCCUUUUUGUGUAUGAGCUUGUCGGAAAAAGAAUCCUGGAAUUCAACCUGUUCAGGUGGGAUGAAAAGUUUUGGCCCACAUCAUGACGUCACAAUGUGAUCUAAUUAUAAUAGACCAAUGACUGUUCACCUGUGUAAAAGGGUGGUCUCUAGACCAUCCUAUCAGCCAAUCAGGGCUGUGUAUGUAAAUAUCUUAACGUUCGUUUCCUAACACCCACAUGAUCAGACUGAGCAUUUCAAGGGCCAAAGGAGGCUCAGGGAAAUAAAUAAUAAAACAUA